GUCCCUAGCUCAGCAGUAGAGUAUUUGCCUUCAGUGCUGAAGGUCCCAGGUUCAGUCCCUGGUGUCUCCA